CUUGCCGUUUUUCGAAGGCUUAUACAGAAUAGUUUCCUGCAAACUCAAGUGGCUGGGAAGCCCAGCUGAAGGUUACUUCUACCCGAAGGCCACGUCAGCAGAAAGUGGCCAACAGGUCUUGGGCCUGAAAAAACUCAGACUGAAUUUCAGGAAUGACAUCUGAAACUGCUGGUUUCUCACAAGGAAUAAAAGCUAUCUGGGAAGCUGGAGAAGCAGCUGCUUACUGUCUGGGGCAGGGACUUGCAAAUGGGAACAGUGAAGACAGACAGCAUCUCCUUCCUCUGAAGAUUCUGUUCGGAGUAGAUAAAGUUUCAGCAUUCUCCCUGGAUGGGGCAGCUUAGCAGACCCAGAGAAAAGCACUGGGAGGAAUGAGAAAGUAGCGACUAGACAAAAAUGAAGACUCUUUAAGAAGCAUUGCUGAAGUUACAGGGGAAAAAGAUAAGACAACUGAGGUUAAGGGCCUGACUCCAGAUCACACAGCAAGGGAGGUGGCAGAAUCAAGAUUUCAACCCAGGAAACCUGCCUCACAUGCCUAUGUGAAUCACUACACCCUUCCCACAAUAAAUAAACAAAUAAGCUA